AGGACCCUACGGGGGGCAGCAGUGGGGAAUAUUGCACAAUGGGGGAAACCCUGAUGCAGCGACGCCGCGUGAGCGAGGAAGUACCUCGGUAUGUAAAGCUCUGUCAGCAGGGAAGAAAAUGACAGUACCUGACCAAGAAGCCCCGGCUAACUACGUGCCAGCAGCCGCGGUAAUACGUAGGGGGCAAGCGUUAUCCGGAUUCACUGGGCGUAAAGGGAGCGCAGGCGGCACGGCAAGUCUGAUGUGAAACCCCGGGGCUCAACCCCGGGACUGCAGUGGAAACUGCCGGGCUG
rnacentral:rRNA from 1 species